AAGGGAGCAGUGUGGGCUUGUGAAAGGACCUGCCUCUGAACAAAGGCUGAUGCACUCGCUGCAACACGACUGCAUGGAGUAUUAAAUAUACAUGAAAAUAAAAACUAUUUAUACAGUUCACCUGUAAACCGCGAGAUGCAUCUUUUGAGCCUAGUUACUCUAUAAUUGGACAAUGUUUGUCAAAUAAAAACGAAAUUGCUACAGUGCCGUUUUUCACAAGUUUUUGCGAACUGAACAAGGCCGCAUGAGAG
rnacentral:lncRNA from 1 species